rnacentral:rRNA from 1 species
AGUCACUGACAUUAGAUACCCGCGUAGUCCAGAGUGUAAACGCUGCAGACUUGGUGUUGGAAGUCCUUUGGGGGCAUUCAGUGCCGGAGAGAAGUUGUUAAGUCUGCUACUUGGGGAGUACGUCCGCAAGGAUGAAACUUAAAGGAAUUGGCGGGGGAGCACCACAACGGGUGGAGCCUGCGGUUUAAUUGGACUCAACGCCGGAAAUCUCACCGGAUAGGACAGACAUAUGAUAGUCGGGCUGAAGACUCUACUUGAUGAUCUG